GACGAACGCUGGCGGCGUGCUUAACACAUGCAAGUCGAACGGAAAGGCCCUGCUUUUGUGGGGUGCUCGAGUGGCGAACGGGUGAGUAACACGUGAGUAACCUGCCCUUGACUUUGGGAUAACUUCAGGAAACUGGGGCUAAUACCGGAUAGGAGCUCCUGCUGCAUGGUGGGGGUUGGAAAGUUUCGGCGGUUGGGGAAGGACUCCCGGCUUAUCAGCUUGUUGGGGGGGUAGUGGCUUACGAAGGCUUGGACGGGUAGCCGGCCUGAGAGGGUGACCGGCCACAUUGGGACUGAGAUACGGCCCAGACUCCUACGGGAGGCAGCAGUGGGGAAUAUUGCACAAUGGGCGGAAGCCUGAUGCAGCAACGCCGCGUGCGGGAUGACGGCCUUCGGGUUGUAAACCGCUUUCGCCUGUGACGAAGCGUGAGUGACGGUAAUGGGUAAAGAAGCACCGGCUAACUACGUG
rnacentral:rRNA from 1 species